GAUGAACGCUGGCGGCGUGCCUAAUACAUGCAAGUCGAGCGAACAGACGAGGAGCUUGCUCCUCUGACGUUAGCGGCGGACGGGUGAGUAACACGUGGAUAACCUACUUAUAUGACUGGGAUAACUUCGGGAAACCGGAGCUAAUACCGGAUAAUAUAUUGAACCGCAUGGUUCAAUAGUGAAAGACGGUUUUGCUGUCACUUAUAGCUGGAUCCGCGCCGCAUUAGCUAGUUGGUAAGGUAACGGCUUACCAAGGCAACGAUGCGUAGCCGACCUGAGAGGGUGAUCGGCCACACUGGAACUGAGACACGGUCCAGACUCCUACGGGAGGCAGCAGUAGGGAAUCUUCCGCAAUGGGCGAAAGCUUGACGGAGCAACGCCGCGUGAGUGAUGAAGGUCUUCGGAUCGUAAAACUCUGUUAUUAGGGAAGAACAAAUGUGUAAGUAACUAUGCACGUCUUGACGGUACCUAAUCAGAAAGCCACGGCUAACUACGUG
rnacentral:rRNA from 1 species